UAUGUUGAAAAAAAUAUUCUUAAAAUAAUAUUUAAUUUAUUUUUUUUUAUUUUGAAUCUUUCGUAAAUAUUUUCAGUUACCUUUAUAAUAGUUUCUAUAUUUUAAUAAACUAAUGUCUAAUAAUAGUAGGUUAUGACUUUUUAUUCAUGUUAAAAACCUAACUAAUUAAUGAUAAUUAUUUUAUUAAUUACUAUACUUAUUGUUUUCUUUAUUUUGGUCAAAAAUGAACAAAAUACAAAAAUGAAAAAAAAACAGUUUUUUUUUUUUAAAAUGGACUUUCAAGGCUUUACAAAUUUCUAAAGACUAAAAGAGUUGAUUGGCAAUUUUUUUGCUUUGAAGGCUUUACACAACCACAAAGCCUCAACAGCCCAAACAACAAUCGGACCCUUUGUUGCCUCCGAUACAAGCUUUCUCUCUUGGAUAUAUUCUUAUUUUCCCGGCGAAAAUGGCGAAUUAUUUCUCGGAGGUUUCUGGAAAAAGAGGAAGAGGAAGCAAGAUAUCCGAGGGCGAUGGAUAAGAGCAACUUCGAAGAUCCUUUCACCGAUCUCUCAGAUGACAAUCUCACUGUCAAGUACACAUACGGUGGCAGUUCUUCUAGCAUGGAGGGCAUGGUUCAGCCCCGAAUUCAGGCGCCGAUCAAGUGCAUCGCUUACUACUUGGAGAUUCUUGUGACUAACGCUGGGUCUGAGGGGCGAAUCGCUACUGGUUUCUCCACGGCGAGUUGGAUUGACAGUCUAGGGUAAUGCGCUCUAUCUUCGCCCCCUUUCUCCUGAUUAAGGUGAAACUAGGUCUAGAUGAAGUGAUUCGCUAAAGAAGAGAUUUAAGCAACUUUGAUGUGCGGCGUUUAGAUUCAGUGAAACUGAGCAAAUUGUGCGUUUGGAUGUUGAUUUUGUUUCUGUCACAGUACAUUGUUUGCAACGAUUCAGUGAACUUGAGCAAAUUUGUUUCUUGGACGAGGUCAUCAUGUACUUUUCUCUCCUCAAAGAGAGCAAAAACUGUUUUCUUCGUUGCUGUUUUGGUAUAUCACAAAUGUUUGGCUUUGUUUUUGUGAAAUUGGACUUCUUCAUUUAUACUUGUGAUUGUAGAUCAUCGGACUUCAAGAAAUGCUAUUAUCAUGGUGACACUGGCCUCAUUCACUGUCUCCAAGGAAAGGGUUUGACUAUAACUGCUGCCAACAAAACUACUGCAAGCACGUAUACGGGUUGCGGUAUAGACUAUGUUUCACAGGAAUUUUUUUUCACGUGAGUAACCAACUAGAGAUCCUAUCCAUUUCAAGUUUUCUUAUUUGCUGACAUCUUCCAUUUCUUAUUUGAUGAUAGCAAAAAUGGAUCUUUGGUAGGGACAAGCCCCAAGGUCUUCAAUGGUGUUCUGUACCCAACAGUGGCUCUACACAGCAAAAACGAGGAGUAUGUCUCUUCUUUUCUCUUUUGUGCAUUGACUGAUGAUUGCCUUUUCUCUGUUUUACUAAUCUUCUCUAUGCUUUUUUUUUUUCUUUUUGUUCUCAAUGAAAUCUCGGCAGAGUCACUGUGAAUUUCCAACCCCAAACGUUUCGUUUUGAUCUUGUGGGACACAAAACAUUUAUCAAGCGUGGAGAUUGAGAAGAUAUCUAUCUCUCCAAGCGUAACUCUAGACCUGGUGAAGAGCUACUUGGCUCGGUAUGGGUAUCAGAAUACCCUCCAUGCCCUGGGCGGUCCAGACAACACUGACUCUUCGGAUUCAGAUCCAGAUAACAACUCUUCGGAUUCAGAGAACCACUCUUCGGAUUCAGAUCCAGACAACCACCCUCCACAUCCGCCUUCUGGUCUUGAGGUAGUUCUCAGACAGCUUAGGGCUUCCUCUUACUUCUGCCGUCGAUGAAUCUAUUCUGCCUUCACCAGUUGCUUAUAGCCUAACCAUAUCGGCAUCUUUUUGAACAAACACUCAAAAACGUUCCACGGUUCCUUUCAGACUUUUUCGUCGUUUAAUUUCUUUUAGAAAAAUUCUCUUCUUUUUCUUUUUGGCUAUUGUGGAUAAAAGAAAAUAUUUGAUUUCGUAACAAUAGGGGGAAAACUUCAAAUGUCUUUUUCAAUCUCGCAAACAAUAUUGAUACA